CCUACGGGAGGCAGCAGUGAGGAAUAUUGGUCAAUGGCCGGAAGGCUGAACCAGCCAUGCCGCGUGAAGGUCAGUGCCCUAUGGGCGUUAAACUUCUUUUGUGCGGGAGCAAUAAUGGUCACGUGUGGCCAGACGAGAGUACCGUACGAAUAAGCAUCGGCUAACUCCGGACCAGCAGCCGCGGAAAUACGUAGGGAGCGGGCGUUAUCCGGAAUUAUUGGGCGUAAAGGGAGCGUAGAUGGCAUAGUAAGUCUUUUGUAAAAAUGUUGGGCUCAACCCAGUAGGGCAAAAGAUACUGCAAAGCUAGAGUAUGACAGAGGCAAGUGGAACUAGAUGUGUAGCGGUAAAAUGCGUAAAUAUAUGUAAGAACACCAGUGGCGAAGGCGGCUUGCUGGGUUGAUACUGACAUUGAGGCACGAAAGCGUGGGGAGCAAACAGGAUUAGAUACCCCAGUAGUC
rnacentral:rRNA from 1 species